CUUUGGGGUGUGACUGCGUACCUUUUGUAUAAUGGGUCAGCGACUUAUAUUCUGUAGCAAGGUUAACCGAAUAGGGGAGCCGGAGGGAAACCGAGUCUUAAUUGGGCGUUAAGUUGCAGGGUAUAGACCCGAAACCCGGUGAUCUAGCCAUGGGCAGGUUGAAGGUUGGGUAACACUAACUGGAGGACCGAACCGACUAAUGUUGAAAAAUUAGCGGAUGACCUGUGGCUGGGGGUGAAAGGCCAAUCAAACCGGGAGAUAGCUGGUUCUCCCCGAAAGCUAUUUAGGUAGCGCCUCGUGAAUUCAUCUCCGGGGGUAGAGCACUGUUUCGGCUAGGGGGCCAUCCCGGCUUACCAACCCGAUGCAAACUGCGAAUACCGGAGAAUGUUAUCACGGGAGACACACGGCGGGUGCUAACGUCCGUCGUGAAGAGGGAAACAACCCAGACCGCCAGCUAAGGUCCCAAAGUCAUGGUUAAGUGGGAAACGAUGUGGGAAGGCCCAGACAGCCAGGAUGUUGGCUUAGAAGCAGCCAUCAUUUAAAGAAAGCGUAAUAGCUCACUGGUCGAGUCGGCCUGCGCGGAAGAUGUAACGGGGCUAAACCAUGCACCGAAGCUGCGGCAGCGACACUCAGGUGUUGUUGGGUAGGGGAGCGUUCUGUAAGCCUGCGAAGGUGGCCUGUGAGGGUUGCUGGAGGUAUCAGAAGUGCGAAUGCUGACAUAAGUAACGAUAAAGCGGGUGAAAAGCCCGCUCGCCGGAAGACCAAGGGUUCCUGUCCAACGUUAAUCGGGGCAGGGUGAGUCGACCCCUAAGGCGAGGCCGAAAGGCGUAGUCGAUGGGAAACGGGUUAAUAUUCCCGUACUUGGUGUUACUGCGAAGGGGGGACGGAGAAGGCUAUGUUGGCCGGGCGACGGUUGUCCCGGUUUAAGCGUGUAGGUGUGUGUUCCAGGUAAAUCCGGUUCACUUUAACACUGAGGCGUGACGACGAGGCACUACGGUGCUGAAGCAACAAAUGC
rnacentral:rRNA from 1 species